UGGCGGGCGUGCUUAACACAUGCAAGUCGAACGAUGAACUUGGAGCUUGCUCUGGGGGAUUAGUGGCGAACGGGUGAGUAACACGUGAGUAACCUGCCCUGGACUCUGGGAUAACUUCGAGAAAUCGGAGCUAAUACCGGAUAGGACCUUGCACCGCAUGGUGUGGGGUGGAAAGUUUUUCGGUUUGGGAUGGACUCGCGGCCUAUCAGCUUGUUGGUGAGGUAAUGGCUCACCAAGGCGUCGACGGGUAGCCGGCCUGAGAGGGUGACCGGCCACACUGGGACUGAGACACGGCCCAGACUCCUACGGGAGGCAGCAGUGGGGAAUAUUGCACAAUGGGCGCAAGCCUGAUGCAGCAACGCCGCGUGCGGGAUGACGGCCUUCGGGUUGUAAACCGCUUUUAGUAGGGAAGAAGCCUUCGGGUGACGGUACCUGCAGAAAAAGGACCGGCUAACUACGUGCCAGCAGCCGCGGUAAUACGUAGGGUCCGAGCGUUGUCCGGAAUUAUUGGGCGUAAAGAGCUCGUAGGCGGUUUGUCGCGUCUGCUGUGAAAACUAGAGGCUCAACCUCUAGCCUGCAGUGGGUACGGGCAGACUUGAGUGGUGUAGGGGAGACUGGAAUUCCUGGUGUAGCGGUGGAAUGCGCAGAUAUCAGGAGGAACACCGAUGGCGAAGGCAGG
rnacentral:rRNA from 1 species